AUUGAACGCUGGCGGCAGGCCUAACACAUGCAAGUCGAGCGGAUGAAGGGAGCUUGCUCCUGGAUUCAGCGGCGGACGGGUGAGUAAUGCCUAGGAAUCUGCCUGGUAGUGGGGGAUAACGUCCGGAAACGGGCGCUAAUACCGCAUACGUCCUGAGGGAGAAAGUGGGGGAUCUUCGGACCUCACGCUAUCAGAUGAGCCUAGGUCGGAUUAGCUAGUUGGUGGGGUAAAGGCCUACCAAGGCGACGAUCCGUAACUGGUCUGAGAGGAUGAUCAGUCACACUGGAACUGAGACACGGACCAGACUCCUAAGGGAGGCAGCAGUUGGGAAUAUUGGACAAUGGGCGAAAGCCUGAUCCAGCCAGGCCGCGUGUGUGAAGAAGGUCUUCGGAUUGUAAAGCACUUUAAGUUGGGAGGAAGGGCAGUAAGUUAAUACCUUGCUGUUUUGACGUUACCAACAGAAUAAGCACCAGCUAACUUAGUG
rnacentral:rRNA from 1 species